AUGGACCACCUGCUGGUCCUGCGCGACCGCGCCGCCGACCUGGACGCCGCCGAGAUCAGGUUCGACCGGUUCUCGGUGGCCGACGACGAGGCCUACGUGAACCUCUGGACCCGCUUCGCCGUCAUGAGCAGGGUCCGCGACCUCACCCUCCACAUCGGCGCCUCCUCCUACCUCGACCUCGACAACCUGCCCCUCGUCUCCCAGCACCUGCGGGUGAUGAACCUCGACGGUCUCAGCCUGCAGCAGAAAUUUCUUGACCUCGCCGGCUGCCCGGCGCUGGAGGUUCUGAAUAUUCAGCACUGCGACAUCAGCGUUGGCAGGAUAUCGUCCCGUUCCCUGAAGCAUUUGAGCCUCAGAAGCUGCCGCUCCAACUCCAAUUGCUGGGUCCAUGUCUCUGCUCCGGGCCUUGUCUCUCUGGUGCUGCUUAGAUUUGGGGGCACAACCCCUUUUCUUGAGAACAUGGCGCUGCUGGAGACCGCGCGUCUUGAUCUUAGUGACGACUUCGAUGUCUGCUUCGAUUACGACUCCGAUGAGAACUCUGUUCCUUUCAAUAAAGAUGACAGUGGUGAUUCUGUGCUCCUGGGUGCUCUCUCGGGUGCUAAACAUCUGGAGCUGGUAUCUGCAUUUCAAAAUUUUGUUUUCAGAAGAGAUUUGAGACAGUGCCCUACAUUCAGCAAGUUAAAGACUUUAUUACUCAAUGAGGACUGGUCCGAGGCUCCUGACUUGGAUGCACUAGCUUGCAUUCUGAAACACUCGCCAGUUCUAGAGAAGCUCACUCUUCAACUCUUUACCAACAAGGGACCAAAACAAGAAAUGAAAAUGAAAGGAAGCUACAGUUCAGCGGAGAGACCGGCUGCAAUAUCAGAGCACCUUAAAGUAGUUGAAGUCCAGUGUAAUGUGGUCAAUCAGGGAGUUUUCAAAGUUUUGAAGUUCCUCUGUGCAUUUAAUAUACGAUUCAGUUUUGAGUAG
rnacentral:rRNA from 1 species